GGCUAGGUAACAUAAUGGAAAUGUAUCGGAUUACAAAUUCUGGAAUGACGGUUCGACCCCGUCCUUGGCCU
rnacentral:tRNA from 2 species